UACGGAGGGUGCAAGCGUUAUCCGGAUUUAUUGGGUUUAAAGGGUCCGUAGGCGGACUUGUAAGUCAGUGGUGAAAUCUCACAGCUUAACUGUGAAACUGCCGUUGAUACUGCAGGUCUUGAGUAAAUUUGAAGUGGCUGGAAUAAGUAGUGUAGCGGUGAAAUGCAUAGAUAUUACUUAGAACACCAAUUGCGAAGGCAGGUCACUAAGAUUUAACUGACGCUGAGGGACGAAAGCGUGGGGAGCGAAC
rnacentral:rRNA from 1 species